rnacentral:rRNA from 1 species
CAGCCGCCGCGGGAAUACAGAGGAUGCAAGCGUUAUCCGGAAUGAUUGGGCGUAAAGCGUCUGUAGGUGGCUUUUCAAGUCCGCCGUCAAAUCCCAGGGCUCAACCCCGGAACUGCCUUUGAUACUGGGAGUCUUGAGUUCGAGAGAGGUGAGUGGAAUUGCGAGUGUAGAGGUGAAAUUCGUAGAUAUUCGGAAGAACACCAGUGGCGAAGGCGGCUCACUGGACGACUGUUGACGCUGAGGUGCGAAAGCGUGGGGAGCAAACAGGAUUAGAUACCCGAGUAGUCCCUGUCUCUUAUAC